GAUGAACGCUGGCGGCGUGCCUAAUACAUGCAAGUCGAGCGAACAGACGAGGAGCUUGCUCCUCUGACGUUAGCGGCGGACGGGUGAGUAACACGUGGAUAACCUACCUAUAAGACUGGGAUAACUUCGGGAAACCGGAGCUAAUACCGGAUAAUAUAUUGAACCGCAUGGUUCAAUAGUGAAAGACGGUUUUGCUGUCACUUAUAGAUGGAUCCGCGCCGCAUUAGCUAGUUGGUAAGGUAACGGCUACCAAGGCAAAGAUGCGUAGCCGACCUGAGAGGGUGAUCGGCCACACUGGAACUGAGACACGGUCCAGACUCCUACGGGAGGCAGCAGUAGGGAAUCUUCCGCAAUGGGCGAAAGCCUGACGGAGCAACGCCGCGUGAGUGAUGAAGGUCUUCGGAUCGUAAAACUCUGUUAUUAGGGAAGAACAAAUGUGUAAGUAACUAUGCACGUCUUGACGGUACCUAAUCAGAAAGCCACGGCUAACUACGUG
rnacentral:rRNA from 1 species